GACGAACGCUGGCGGCGUGCCUAAUACAUGCAAGUAGAACGCUGAAGGAGGAGCUUGCUUCUCUGGAUGAGUUGCGAACGGGUGAGUAACGCGUAGGUAACCUGCCUGGUAGCGGGGGAUAACUAUUGGAAACGAUAGCUAAUACCGCAUAAUAGUAGAUGUUGCAUAACAUUUGCUUAAAAGGUGCAAUUGCAUCACUACCAGAUGGACCUGCGUUGUAUUAGCUAGUUGGUGGGGUAACGGCUCACCAAGGCGACGAUACAUAGCCGACCUGGGAGGGGGAUCGGCCAAACUGGGACUGAGACACGGCCCAGGACCCUACGGGAGGCAGCAGGAGGGAAUCUUCGGCAAUGGGCGGAAGGCUGAACGGGCAACGCCGCGGGAGUGAAGAAAGUUUUCGGAUCGGAAAGCUCUGUUGUAAGGGAAGAACGAGUGUGAGAGUGGAAAGUUCACACUGUGACGGUAUCUUACCAGAAAGGGACGGCUAACUACGUG
rnacentral:rRNA from 1 species